GGAGGGGGCUCUAGCUCGAGCUGUGGGAUGCCUGUUGGUCACGUAAUGGUGUUCUUAUUGCUAUUCAAGCCAACCUCUACCACUGUCACGUCCACUGCUCCUCAAGGUUGAAUCCAGUAUUCAUGGAGAGAAAAAAAAAAUUCCUUGGGAGGUGAACCCUUCCGAGGGGUUCUUAAACUGUGUCCAUCGUCUGUCUGAAGAUAGAUUUUAAGGAGUAUCUAGGCACUUCCCCUAAGUUCAUCCCAAAGGCUGCAAUUACAGACAUGGACCAUUAUGAGAAUCUGCAAUCGGACCUUAUGACUUCAUCACUGACGUAAUCCAAUCUGGAAAACCUAAAAUCGUUCAUCCAACUCUCUAUGAGCGAGUGUCUUACGUAAACACCUAAAAUGUAUGUGUGUCAACAUUAUCGAGAGCUACAGGACCUACGGAGCAUCUUUAACAGAGGCUUUGCUGUGCAUGAUUAAUCACUGAAACAUUCCAUGAAAGGUUUUUAAGAUGCUGUUUUAUUUUCAACAACUCGAACACAGAGAAUGUUACGAAGCAGGGGUUUGUAACAGAGUAAAUUUAGGAGGAAUCCUUUUUUAAAACAAAAUACCAUGGCACAGUUUAUCCGUAAGCUCACAGAGAAAACCCUGGCACUGCUGAAUGCUGCGGUGACCUAAUCCAAGCCUCAGUCAGCCACAUUUUGGCUCUGUACCAAGGAUAAGUUGGUCUCCAACUCCAGCUAAGCUUCUUACAACUCUCAGAUGGUGAAGAAAAAUCCCAAGUGCUGAUUGGGGGUUUCCAAGAACUCACCGCUAAAGAAGCCAUGCUGAAUGGCUCUGUGGCCACUGAGGUAUCAUCAGCAAAUGUGAUGUCAUUGGCUGCUAUAGUUGGCGAUUGGUCUUUUAUAUCUGAUUUUGUUUAAGCUCCCAUUUGAAUGUUCCUGGACCACAUGUAAUGAAACUGCUAUCUCAAUAAAAUAAGAGCUAUC